rnacentral:rRNA from 1 species
AGUGAACGCUGGCGGUAGGCCUAACACAUGCAAGUCGAACGGCAGCACAGUAAGAGCUUGCUCUUACGGGUGGCGAGUGGCGGACGGGUGAGGAAUACAUCGGAAUCUACUUUUUCGUGGGGGAUAACGUAGGGAAACUUACGCUAAUACCGCAUACGACCUACGGGUGAAAGCAGGGGAUCUUCGGACCUUGCGCGAUUGAAUGAGCCGAUGUCGGAUUAGCUAGUUGGCGGGGUAAAGGCCCACCAAGGCGACGAUCCGUAGCUGGUCUGAGAGGAUGAUCAGCCACACUGGAACUGAGACACGGCCCAGACUCCUACGGGAGGCAGCAGUGGGGAAUAUUGGACAAUGGGCGCAAGCCUGAUCCAGCCAUACCGCGUGGGUGAAGAAGGCCUUCGGGUUGUAAAGCCCUUUUGUUGGGAAAGAAAAGCAGCAGGUUAAUACCCCGCUGUUCUGACGGUACCCAAAGAAUAAGCACCGGCGAACUUCGU